ACAGACUUUGCUCCAGCCGGUCUAGAUCCUCAGUGGAUGCUAGAGGAAAGAUUCCAUCUUCCUCAUCAUUUUGCACUGCCACUGGGGGUAAAAAGCGCCUGUUUCCCACUAGAGACUGGACCAGUGAAGUCAGUUGAUAAAUAACAAAUAACUUACAUGUACAUUGAUUUGGAACCAGACGCAAGACUGGAUUUUCCUGUCUCACACCAGAAGUACCUGUGGAUCAACACCAUAGCCGGCUCCGUGAUGGUCUGCCUGAGAGAUGCCCACAGUCGCUGAGAAAGGUGGAGCAGGUGGAUCAACACUCCAACCGUCUCCGUGAUGGUCUGGCUGAGAAACACGCACUGGAGCUGCAAAAGGUGGAGUGUGUAAGUUGCACAUGUAAUUGUGAGGUUACUGUUCCUCCAUCAAUAGGGCAUUUCCCCAU